UCUUGGUCAUUUAGAGGAAGUAAAAGUCGUAACAAGGUUUCCGUAGGUGAACCUGCGGAAGGAUCAUUACCGAAUCGUCAACACGAGCUGUUGCUGUGUCGUCCAAACGGGGGCAGGUGCACGCUCUGUUUACAAAUCCACGCACACCUGUGCACCUUCUGUAGUUCUGUGGUCUGGGGAGACCCUCGUCUCUCCCUUCCGUAGUCCUGCUUCUUUACACACACGCCGUAACAAAGUUUUGUGGAAUGUAUGCCGCGUUUAACGCAAUAAAAUACAACUUUCAGCAACGGAUCUCUUGGCUCUCGCAUCGAUGAAGAACGCAGCGAAAUGCGAUAAGUAAUGUGAAUUGCAGAAUUCAGUGAAUCAUCGAAUCUUUGAACGCACCUUGCGCCCCUUGGCUAUUCCGAAGGGCAUGCCUGUUUGAGUAUCAUGAACACCUCAACUCUCAUGGUUUUCCGUGACGAGCUUGGACUUUGGGGGUCUUGUUGGCCUGUCAUCAGCUCCUCUCAAAUACAUCAGCUUGCCAGUGUUUUGGUGGCACCACGGGUGUGAUAACUAUCUACGCUCGGGGUCGAUCCGCCAGGUAACUUCCAGGGAUGGAGGUUCGCUGGAGCUCACAAAUGUCUCUCCUUGGGGAGGACAGCUUUUUGAACGUUCGAUCUCAAAUCAGGUAGGACUACCCGCUGAACUUAAGCAUAUCAAUAAGCGGAGGAA
rnacentral:rRNA from 1 species